UCUGUUCAAAACAGUUUAUUGUAUUUUUUCGUCAGACAAACACAUUGAUUUCUGGACCACAGUAGAGGAUGGAAACCUUUCACAAACUUAUUUAUUUGAAAAUACAAAUAUAAAAUUAUACUUUCCACAUCUGUGAUGUGAGAGACCCCCAUCCACAUAGUAUUUUACAACAGGGCUUUAGAAAGCCAUACACAGAGACCUGAAAGAUGCUUGAUAUAUAUAGAUACAUAUAUAUAUGUAUAUAUAUAAAAAAAAAGUCACUACCAAAGUUCUCAUCAGUUCAUACUAAAGUAUAAAAGGAAGGGCUAGGCCUGCCACUGUGCCAUAGUUUAUUUAGGUACAUUUAUGACCACCUGAAAUGCUUUAGACUUGCAUCCUAGUACUGAUGGAGUUCAGACCUCGUACAACAGGGGAUGACGGGGGGGUUGCUACCUACGACGGUCGACGCGACACACGAGCCCGCGCGCGGUGUUACGGGUGGGGACGGAGCCGGGGCUGCCCCCUGCUCCGACACGGAGCUCUCGAGACAACACAGUCGGACUGUUUGGGAACCGAGAUCACGAGGAUUUACUUUCUCAAACUACUCUUUUUUUAAGUAUUUUUUUUUUGUUUGUUUUUUGGUAAUUUUAAUUACAGUAUUAAAGUAUUGCUUAGCUUACAGAAUCGCCUCACGUAGUGCUCGCACACGGCAAUGGGCUUGACUUGGAUUCUGUACGUAUGAAACUCUACAGUGUCUGUGCGCAGACCGGGAUCUGCCGGUGUGUCUUCGAUGCAUCCUGUCUCUUCACCUUACACUAACUUCACUUUUCUGUUUUGAACUAGUUCACUUAAAAAAGAAAAAAACAACCCCAAACCACUAAAACAAAGAAAUAAUUCAGAAAAUUCCACCCAAGAGACAUUUCCAUAGCAUAAAAGACAGCUAUGAGUUAGUGUUGUUUGUUUUUUGUAAACAGUUUCAUAUGCAAUAUCAUACAUAACCAUGGCUGGCCUUCAGUAAAAAUGUAGUAAACUAUAUUGCUUUAUUAUUGAUUAUGUUGCAUUGAGUGAAUGGCAGAAACGAAACAGGAAGGUAACUGUGGCUGGAGUCGCUAGCCCUCAUUCACACUACAGAUGAAAACAGCAUCCUAGGCUUCCGAGCGGGGAAGAAAAGAAAUCUGAACACCUUUCAGGUCGUUAUUACCAACAAUGAUGGUUGAACUAGCCUAGCAAGAUGUGUAACAUUCACUGCUGUACAAUGGAAAAAAAAUCAACUUACAGCAAAGAGAGCCAUGCUACCUUAAAGUCCAAGCUACAAAUUCAACUUAGAAUGAACAGUGAUGGAGGAGAGAAAAAUUAAAACAGGACAGAUCAGGCUUCAUUUUAAUCAAGCCCAGGGCAAAGGGCUGCUUUAGUUUGAAACGGAGGGUACCCAAGCUCCUGGGCUUGCUCUUACAUGUCCCUUGUGCCUGGGAUACAGCCCAUCCCAUGGCACAGGAGCGCUGGGCAGGGGCUGACCCUCCCGCAGUGCUUUGGGGUGCCCAUUUCACACAGCUUAGAUGGAAAUCUUGCUCUUUUUGGUCACACUCUGAGGGUAGCAGGACCCUGAGAAAGGGCAACAUCCCUCAGGCCGAGCCUUCACUCGCUGUGCUUGACUAAAACAAAGGUGAAACUGCACCUUUGUGCCAAAAAAUUGAUAAAACUCCCUAAACAAAGAAAGAACAAACCAAAACCCCCUUCGAAAUGGAUUUCUAGAUGAGUGGGGGGGACUAACGUGAACCUUAAGUCUAGGUAGCCACAUCAAAACAUAUCGGAUUCCACGACAUUUGUGCUAUGGGCCACUGGGACUUCUCAAAAGGUAUAUAAACAUCUAAAACAUAUUCACACAGAUUAGCAAUUUCUUCUGAGCAUUCUUAAAAAAAUAUGGUUUUUUUUUUUUUUGUUUUUCUCUUAGUAAAAUCAUUUUUAAUAUACCGUGCCUCCCUCUGUUAAAAAAUAAAUUAAAAAAAUCCAGUUUUGCAUAUCUAGCGUUAGCAUUUAAGGUAGUAUGGCACAUCCCCUCUCAAAGUCAAGGGGGGGGAUCUACAAAUGCCUUAAAGAGUUUGCCAGCAUUUUUAACAUUGUGAGACCUUUGGUUAGUUGAAACCGCAUCAGAUCAGCAAAAGAAAAGAGAAACCAAGAAAGUAAAAUAAUCAAAGGAAAGAGGAAAGAAAAAAAAGAACAAACAAAAAAAAGAGGAAAACCUUCCCAAAAUUAUUAGCAAUUUUUUCCUUAAAUAAGAGAAAGUUCUAUCCUUACUGGUCCUAAAUCUGAAUAACUACAUCUAAAUUUAUAACCUUAAUUACGAUACACCUACCAAAUAUGUACUAGAAGAGGAAGAGAGAAAGAGGGGGGGAGAAAUUCACUACACUAGCAUCAGGACAGCACUCUUACAAGAUAGCAUUUUAUACACUAUUAACAUACAACAAUGAUCAACAAAGAAGAGUCUAUGAGGUGACAGGGAAUGGAGAGGAAAACCAACUGGUAGUACAGUACAUCAUCAACAUUGACAAAAUAGCAAUAAAAAAUUCCCUGAUGGUACAUUGAAUUCCAGGGAAUUUGGUUUGUAGGUUUCUUUUAUUUUUUUUUUUUUUAUUUUUUUUAACAUUUUUAUUUUUUAAAGAAUUGUUUCAUUUCUUUUAUUACUUGAUCAAGUCUCAAUAGUUAAAAAGCGUCCAGCAUUUUGCUUAAACCUGGUUGUUCGGAAAUAAGAAAAAAACCUAAAAUAUUACAUAAAAAGCAUGAUUCUUUCUCUUUUUUGUCUGUUUAAAAACAAGAAAAACAAGGUUUUCUCCUUUCGGUUAGCAGUAUGGUGCCUUGUUUUUGUUAAAGAUGCCUUGCUCUACCUUGUCUAGUGAACGUCUACGUUAAGUCUACUUGUUAGUAAAGUUUACAAAAAUAGGAGUGCAGCAGCUCUUUUUAACAAAUGUCGCAUUCAGUGUCUUGUACUGCCUGUACCUAAAGUACCAAAUUUAUAAACGUAACAAGUUAAAAAAAUAGCAAGAAAACUUGUCAAGAUCACGUUAAAAAAAGAAGAACUCUAUCCACGCUACAGUAUGUUCGUAAUGCCACCUCUACCAGGUUGUACUUCUAGGUUGCUGUUUGCAGGCCUAUCGACCAAUAUUACAAAACUUAAAUUAAAAAAUAUCCUUCAUUAAGUUUCCUCCCCCGACAGAGGACCAUAUAUAUAACAGCCAAAUAUUAAACAUGUGCAAAUAGGAAACUGUCAGUUUUUCCCCUACCAGUCACAGUGCAAUGAUGUUUUUUUUUAUACUUUAUUUUUUUUAUUUUUA
ensembl:lncRNA